GGCCGCGAGAAUUUCGAUUAGAGUUUGAUCAUGGCUCAGAACGUACGCUGGCGGCACGCCUUAUACAUGCAAGUCGAACGCAGUAGCAAUACUGAGUGGCAAACGGGUGAGUAUAAUGUGGGUAUCUGCCUUUUGGUUUGGAAUAACAUGAGGAAACUCGUGCUAAUACCGGAUAAGCCUUCACAGGGAAAGUUUUAUACGCCGAAAGAUGAGCCCGCACUUGAUUAGUUUGUUGGUGAGGUAAUGGCUCACCAAGACAAUUAUCAAUAGCUGGUCUGAGAGGACGAUCAGCCACAUUGGGACUGAGACACGGCCCAGACUCCUACGGGAGGCAGCAGUAAGGAAUCUUGCACAAUGGGGGAAACCCUGAUGCAGCGAUGCCGCGUGAGUGAAGAAGGCCCUUGGGUUGUAAAACUCUUUCGUCGGGGAAGAAAAUGACUGUACCCGAAUAAGAAGGUCCGGCUAACUUCGUGCCAGCAGCCGCGGUAAUACGAAGGGACCUAGCGUAGUUCGGAAUUACUGGGCUUAGAGAGCUCGUAGGUGGUUAAAAAAGUUGAUGGUGAAAUCCCAAGGCUCAACCUUGGAACUGCCAUCAAAACUUUUUAGCUAGAGUGUGAUAGAGGAAAGUGGAAUUUCUAGUGUAGAGGUGA
rnacentral:rRNA from 1 species